rnacentral:lncRNA from 1 species
CAUCAUUCCUCCCUGUCUAAAACAAGUAUUUCUAAUGAAUAGUUAGUUGGUCCUGCUGUCUGAUGUGGUACAGCAAAGCUGAGCCUGUGUGGGAUGAAGAACCUGAAGAUGCCCCUGAACUCUCAGAGGAAGCCUGCGUUCCUAUACACAGAGCAUAGAAAGAGAAAAAGUGAGGAGCCUAUAAUACUUCACAAGAACCAAGGAGAAGCUAUAGGGAUCAGAAAUUUGGUUCUGUGAUCCCAGAGAAGACUGACAUUACAGUGACUUCCCAGAAGAACCUGGUGAUAACUCAUGCAUUUAACUAUGAUUGUCAAGGUUUUGAUAUGUUUCAGCUUUCCUGCCAUUUAGUUUCAUUCAUUGUUGACUAGCUGUGGUAUUAUGAAAUUUCUUAUUCAUUCUAGUACCUUGUGUUAUUUACAAGCUAUUAUAAAAAUAACAAGUGCUGUCUAUUUUUAAUUCUGUGUGAUUAUUCUGGAAAUUUUCCUAAACUGAUCAAUAUUGAGUACAUCUAUUUGGUAUUCCCCCUUCACAAUUUAUUUAAUUUUAUUUU